CCUGGCGGCAGUAGCGCGGUGGUCCCACCUGACCCCAUGCCGAACUCAGAAGUGAAACGCCGUAGCGCCGAUGGUAGUGUGGGGUCUCCCCAUGCGAGAGUAGGGAACUGCCAAGC
rnacentral:rRNA from 3 species